AUUGGAUUGCACGUCUAAGCAGUAAGGCUGAGUAUUAGGCAAAUCCGGUACUCGUUAAGGCUGAGCUGUGAUGGGGAGAAGACAUUGUGUCUUCGAGUCGUUGAUUUCACACUGCCGAGAAAAGCCUCUAGAUAGAAAAUAGGUGCCCGUACCGCAAACCGACACAGGUAGUCAAGAUGAGAAUUCUAAGGUGAGCGAGCGAACUCUCGUUAAGGAACUCGGCAAAAUGACCCCGUAACUUCGGGAGAAGGGGUGCUCUUUAGGGUUAACGCCCAGAAGAGCCGCAGUGAAUAGGCCCAAGCGACUGUUUAUCAAAAACACAGGUCUCUGCUAAACCGUAAGGUGAUGUAUAGGGGCUGACGCCUGCCCGGUGCUGGAAGGUUAAGAGGAGUGGUUAGCUUCUGCGAAGCUACGAAUCGAAGCCCCAGUAAACGGCGGCCGUAACUAUAACGGUCCUAAGGUAGCGAAAUUCCUUGUCGGGUAAGUUCCGACCCGCACGAAAGGCGUAACGAUUUGGGCACUGUCUCAACGAGAGACUCGGUGAAAUCAUAGUACCUGUGAAGAUGCAGGUUACCCGCGACAGGACGGAAAGACCCCGUGGAGCUUUACUGUAGCCUGAUAUUGAAAUUCGGCACAGCUUGUACAGGAUAGGUAGGAGCCUUUGAAACGUGAGCGCUAGCUUACGUGGAGGCGCUGGUGGGAUACUACCCUAGCUGUGUUGGCUUUCUAACCCGCACCACUUAUCGUGGUGGGAGACAGUGUCAGGCGGGCAGUUUGACUGGGGCGGUCGCCUCCUAAAAGGUAACGGAGGCGCUCAAAGGUUCCCUCAGAAUGGUUGGAAAUCAUUCAUAGAGUGUAAAGGCAUAAGGGAGCUUGACUGCGAGACCUACAAGUCGAGCAGGGUCGAAAGACGGACUUAGUGAUCCGGUGGUUCCGCAUGGAAGGGCCAUCGCUCAACGGAUAAAAGCUACCCCGGGGAUAACAGGCUUAUCUCCCCCAAGAGUUCACAUCGACGGGGAGGUUUGGCACCUCGAUGUCGGCUCAUCGCAUCCUGGGGCUGUAGUCGGUCCCAAGGGUUGGGCUGUUCGCCCAUUAAAGCGGUACGCGAGCUGGGUUCAGAACGUCGUGAGACAGUUCGGUCCCUAUCCGUCGUGGGCGUAGGAAAUUUGAGAGGAGCUGUCCUUAGUACGAGAGGACCGGGAUGGACAUACCUCUGGUGUACCAGUUGUCGUGCCAACGGCAUAGCUGGGUAGCUAUGUGUGGACGGGAUAAGUGCUGAAAGCAUCUAAGCAUGAAGCCCCCCUCAAGAUGAGAUUUCCCAACUUCGGUUAUAAGAUCCCUCAAAGAUGAUGAGGUUAAUAGGUUCGAGGUGGAAGCAUGGUGACAUGUGGAGCUGACGAAUACUAAUCGAUCGAAGACUUAAUCAAAA
rnacentral:rRNA from 1 species